rnacentral:misc_RNA from 1 species
GGGGAGUACGUUCGCAAGAAUGAAACUCAAAGGAAUUGACGGGGGCCCGCACAAGCGGUGGAGCAUGUGGUUUAAUUCGAUGAUACGCGAGGAACCUUACCAGGGCUUAAAUGUAGCUUGACAGGGCUGGAAACAGCUUUUCCUUCGGGCAAGUUACAAGGUGCUGCAUGGUUGUCGUCAGCUCGUGCCGUGAGGUGUCAGGUUAAGUCCUAUAACGAGCGCAACCCCUGUUGUUAGUUGCCAGCGAGUCAUGUCGGGAACUCUAACAAGACUGCCAGUGCAAACUGUGAGGAAGGUGGGGAUGACGUGUAACCGAAUCU